UACGUAGGGCGCAAGCGUUCUCCGGAAUUAUUGGGCGUAAAGAGCUCGUAGGCGGUUUGUCGCGUCUGCCGUGAAAGUCCGGGGCUUAACCCCGGAUCUGCGGUGGGUACGGGCAGACUAGAGUGCAGUAGGGGAGACUGGAAUUCCUGGUGUAGCGGUGAAAUGCGCAGAUAUCAGGAGGAACACCGAUGGCGAAGGCAGGUCUCUGGGCUGUAACUGACGCUGAGGAGCGAAAGCAUGGGGAGCGAACAGG
rnacentral:rRNA from 1 species